CACACCAGAUGUGUGCGGAAAAGAAAAAAGUUUAUAAUUCUUGUUAACGUGAAUUCAUCACACAGUCGAUAAAAAAAUGUUGAAUAUCAAGUGUGUUGUAUCGAUGCUCUUUGGAGUUCUUUUCAUUUUCAAAAUUGUCGAGGCCAAAGUUUAUCUUAAAUUUAAAGCUCUGGAUCCAUCAACGAAAAAGGAGACGAAAUAUCACGUUGAAGAUUUACCUCAAUCAUUAUUUCAAAUAACAGCGCACUACAUGUGGGAGCAUUUUGUUGAAAAAGAAGCUUGGAGUCUUAUGCGUGAGCCACUUGGAUUUGGAAAAGACAAUUAUGGAAAUUACAUCGCACAUAUGGUGAAUAAUGAGAUGAGCCAAAAUACAUCUUUGGGUUGCUUUAAAACUUCAACUUGAGAGUUGGUUGGCUUUGAUCGAACAAUGUGACGAGGGAUCUUCUGCACCUACAAUUGUAUAUAAAAAAAAUCGAAAUCGAAAACCAAUGGAAGUACUUGUAAACCAAAUUUUUGGAGCAAUAUACUUUAAUGUAUGUGACAAGUAUGGAGUUAAUAGAUAUUUGUGUAGCGAUGGACUGGUUGUUCUUCCAGAUUAUCGUGGUCUGGGUAUAAGCACGAACCUUCUACAAGCAAGACAAGGAAUUUGCAAAAAGUACGGAUUGCACGUAUCUUCAUCCACGUUUUCAGGCGACAUCUCCAACAAAGCAGCCAUAUCAGCUGGAUUCACGAAUCUUGACGUAAGCAUACCAUGGAAAGAAUUUAUCAAUGCACAUGCCGAACUAGCUCAUUUAAGGGAGUAUGUAGAAAACAGCGAAUAUUUUACACGUAGAUCGAUCAUCUACAAUUUUUAAAACGAUUAUUUUUCGAUCACAUUUUUUCUUUUGAUAAUUAUAAAUUUUAAAAUUCUUAUAUUGCGAAAAUGGGACUAUUUGUAUUCGUUGCGUUCAAUUAGUUGACAGAAGAGAAGAAAAUGAAGUAACUUGCAAAAAAAUUGUUUUUCAUGUUUUGAACUAACUUUAAUUUCAAUGUUAAUUUAAU